AAUGAACGCUGGCGGCAGGCCUAACACAUGCAAGUCGAGCGGAGUGGCGGACGGGCGAGUAAUGCCCAGGUAGCUGCCCUGUCGUGGGGGAUAAGGUCAGGAAACGAGCCCUAAGAUCGUAUACUUUUAGCUGAGCCUUGGUCGGAUUAGCUAGUUGGUGGGGUAAAGGCCUACCAAGGCGACGAUCCAUAACUGGUCGGAGAGGAUGAUCAGUCACACUGGAACUGAGACACGGUCCAGACGCCUACGGGAGGCAGCAGUGGGGAAUAUUGGACAAUGGGCGAAAGCCUGAUCCAGCCAUGCCGCGUGUGUGAAGAAGGUCUUCGGAUUGUAAAGCACUUUAAGUUGGGAGGCGUUACCAACAGAAUAAGCACCGGCUAACUUCGUGCCAGCAGCCGCGGUAAUAC
rnacentral:rRNA from 1 species